rnacentral:rRNA from 1 species
GAUGAACGCUGGCGGCGUGCCUAAUACAUGCAAGUCGAGCGAACAGACGAGGAGCUUGCUCCUCUGACGUUAGCGGCGGACGGGUGAGUAACACGUGGAUAACCUACCUAUAAGACUGGGAUAACUUCGGGAAACCGGAGCUAAUACCGGAUAAUAUAUUGAACCGCAUGGUUCAAUAGUGAAAGACGGUUUUGCUGUCACUUAUAGAUGGAUCCGCGCCGCAUUAGCUAGUUGGUAAGGUAACGGCUUACCAAGGCGACGAUGCGUAGCCGACCUGAGAGGGUGAUCGGCCACACUGGAACUGAGACACGGUCCAGACUCCUACGGGAGGCAGCAGUAGGGAAUCUUCCGCAAUGGGCGAAAGCCUGACGGAGCAACGCCGCGUGAGUGAUGAAGGUCUUCGGAUCGUAAAACUCUGUUAUUAGGGAAGAACAAAUGUGUAAGUAACUAUGCACGUCUUGACGGUACCUAAUCAGAAAGCCACGGAUAACUACGUG